rnacentral:lncRNA from 1 species
UUUUUUUUUUUUUUUUUUUGCCUUCUCUUAAAGUACUCACCAAGCUUCUCCCUCUUUGCUGUUUCUGUGAUUCAAUAAGUAAAUACAUUUUGGAGUCAUUAUAAGUUUUGGAACUAGAUCAAAAGAAAGGCCAAUACAUGCAAGAGAAGGCAUAUUUUCCUUAGCAAUCAUUGAAUAUUUUUGUAAGGCUGCAAGAUUUCAGGUCAUAGAAACAAGUAUUUUGCUAUGCAUUCUUAUGCCAGAUAGAAAUAAAAUAGUAAAUUAGUAACCCAGGUUUUACAAUUCAUGUGAAACACUUCCUGAGUUCAAUGUUUUCCUUUUUGUCACACAGCUAAAAGAAUAUACAGGGAUAAAAGGAAUUAGAACCAUUCUCUUUGUGCUAUUCUAUAGGUCUCCAUAAUUUCUUUAAAUUUCUACAUAUUUUUAUUAUAAUAGAUCUAAAUUCUACAUAACAUUUAUGUAUUGAUACACCAACAUUAAAAAUAUAUAUAUUAGGUAGAUGACAGAUUUUUAAAUUUUUAAAAUUUUUGUUGCUAUUUCUAUUUUAUUUAUUUUAUUUACCUUGGGAUUUUUAUCUCAGGUGCACAGAAUUUUAUCUCAGGUGCACAGAAUUGCCUUGGGUCAUAGCAAAUUUUUAUUGUCAACCAGUGUUUUAUUUCAUGAUUCUUCCCAUUCAUUCCUCCGUCAUCUAUCCCCUUCCCACACCCAUCUGGCACCCACUCACAUGCAGUCCAAGGAACAUUCCACAUAGUUUGUGGCCACUUGUAAAUAUGUUUGUCCUUGAAACUAACCAACUAACUUCCUUCCUUCCUUCCUUCCUUCCUUCCUUCCUUCCUUCCUUCCUUCCUUCCUUCCUUUCUUCCUUCCUUCCUUCUUUCUUUUAUUCUCUUUCUUCUUUCUUUCUUUCUUCUUCAAUUCCAGAGAGAGCACAAGCAGGAGGGGCAGAAGGAGAGAAAGAUUCUCAAGCACACUCUGUACUGAGUCCUGAGCCCUAUGGGGGGGCGGCUCAAUCUCACGACCAUGAGAUCAUAACCUGAGCUGAAACCAAGAGUCAGUUGCUCAAAAGAUUGCACCACCCAGGUGCCCCUGAAAUUUAUUUUUAACAUAGUAUGCUUUUAAUGACAUAAAUAGUGUCACGUUUUGUUUCUUACUAUUUUAUUCAAUUAUAUAGUUUUGAAACCUGGUUACACAGCUAUUUCUUCCAUGCUGCCCAUUGGCUCUGACACUGUACAGUAUUCCUCUCAUGCAUAUCCAUAUACCACAUUUUACAUAUAUAGGUAUCUAUUUUUGAACUCCUGGGUUGCCUUCAACUCUUUCUAGCACAAUAUGCUUUGAGGGUUAUCAUUGUUUAUGUCUUCUGGGGCAUUUGUGAAGAGCAUCUCUGGAGGGUAGACUCCAGAGUGAGAGUUUGGGGCACAAAGUAUAUGCCUACAAUUUUACCUAAAUAUUGCCAGAUUGUUUUCUAAACAGCUACAUUGUACUACGCCUCUCAAUAUUAUAUAAGAUUUCUCAUUUCUCCACAUCUCCAUCAGCCUCUGAUAUUAUCUCUCAAAUUUUUAGCUAGCUUAUGACUUUACCAUUGUAGAAGAGCAGCAGCAGAGUCACAGUGGUUCAGAGAUUAGGUGGGUAAACUCAAAGCUAUCCCAAUUAGAUCCAGAUUCCAGCUCUUAUCAUUGAACGCUUGUGUAACGUUCUGUUCCUGAUUCCUUAUCUGUAAAAUGAGAUCAUGAUAAUAUCUAGCGCAUAAAGUUGCUGUAAGAAUCAGGGCACUUUAUAUUUUAAAAGCACUUAGAAUAGUGCUUGGCCAUAGUAAGUGCUCAAAUAUUGGCUGUUCACAAAGUUCCUCCAAUGAACAAAAGUCAAUGAGCACUCUUCAUAUAUUUUGUGGCCGUUCAAAUUACUCCACAGCUUUAAAUUAUUUUUCUAUAAUGUUCCUUGACAUUAUCUUGAUGAGUCCUUCGUCUUUAUAUAUAUUCUUAACAUCCUUAGUUAUUUGUAGAAACUGAAAAGAUUUUUCACACAGUCUACCGCUGGUGAUUUAAUUUUGUAUUUGUCAUCCUAUUUUGAAGGCACAUCUUUACUUCAAUGUAGUAAAGUUAUCAAUUUUUCCUUUUAUAUUUCAUGCUAUUUUUGGUAUUGUUUAAAAAAAUCUCUUUCCAUCCUGAAAUCACAGACACAUUCAAUUUUAUUAUUUAUAAAAUUUAUUAAAAUACUUAUAAAAUUAUUUAUAAUAAUUACAUUAUUUUAAUUCUUUUGAAAUUAUAUUUCAUUUUAUAUAAUCACAUUCUUCUAAUCAUUUCAUAAUCUUUUUGGAUUUUCUUAUUGAGACAAUUAGAUUGUCAGUAGAUUUUUAGACUUUUGAUUUUCAGGUUAUCAUCAGCAAGUAAUGAGUUUCAAUUCUUCCUAGCAAUUCAUACUUUCUAUUUUUUUUCUUUUUUUUUUUUCUUUUUUUGGUCUUCUCGUAUUGUCUAAGACUUUCUGUGUUCUGUUGAAUAGUAGUGAAAUACUUGGUCUAUAUUUUUUCCAAUCUUAAAUGAAAUCCUUCUAAAUUUUUUUCAUUUGAUGUGUUAUUGCUAUAAUUUAUUAUUUUGUCAUUAGAGUAAGAAAAUCCCCUUUCUACCUAGUCUUUUAAGAAUGCUGAACAUGUGGGGAUUUUAUUUCUUUUUCAUCUAUUGAAAUUAUUAUUAUUUUAAACAAAACACAUUUUUAUUUGGUUGGAUAAAAUUUUAUUGAUAAUAUUAAUAUUGCUGUUCACAAAUGAAACUGAACCAUAGUUUUAUUUUCUUAAACUGUCUUUAUUGGUAUUUGUAUGCUAUAAUAGGCUCAUUAAAAUACUUUAGCAGUUUUUUUUUUUUCUGUUUCCUAGACAAACUAGCCUAUGUUUAUAUGGUAAAAUUCACAUGUAAAACUUCUAAAUAGAAAAUGUUUUAAAGCAAUGUUGUUUAUUUAAAAUACAUUGGUCAAUUAAGAUUUCUACUUCUUCCUUUUUUUUAAUUUCUAUUUCUUCUUGUGUUAAUUUUGACACUUUACAUUUUCUAGAAAUAUAUCCAUUUGCUUUGAAUUUCAAACUUAUAGACAUUAAUUUAUUUAAAAUAUUAUCUUUGAUUUUUCAAAUAUUUAUGUAACUGCUGGAAUCAAGAACUAUAUAUUCCCAGAGUCCCAUCAUCUCUGAAUCUCUGUAUUUGAUUCUAAGAUUAAAGAACAACAGUGUGGCUAAAAUAAAUCUAAAUACAUGUCAAAAUCAAUUUACUAUUCUUCAAAAAUUAGACAACCUCGUCCAGUUAGGGCCUAGACAUCCUGAAGCUUGUAGAUGUUUGGAUGGUCUCUAUGGUAUUUUAUUUUAUUUUAUUUUAUUUUAUUUUAUUUUAUUUUAUUUUAUUUUUUAUUUUAUUUUAUUCUUGGUCUCUAUGGUUUAGAUGGUGAGCUCAUAACUCUGAUUGCUUGGAUUCAUAUACCAGCUCAGCACUGAGCACAAACAACUUUGUCCAAGUUUCUUAUCCCUUCCAUACCUAAGUUUUCCCUUCUGGAAAACAGAAAUGAUAGGGACACCUGGGUGGCUCAGUGGUUGAGCAUCUGCUUUCAGCUCAGGAUGUGAUCCCAGGGUUCCAGGUUUCAGUCCUCCAUUGGGGUCCUACACAGAGCCUGCUUCUCCCCCCUGCCUGUGUCUCUGCCUUGCUCUCUGUGUCUCUCAUGAAUAAAUAAACAAAAAUCUUAAAAAAAAAAAAAAA